GACGACCUCUGCGAGGCGCCGUUCCGACAGGUGAGGCGAAGGAUGCGUUUUCUAGGUGCCGAGCGCCGGCGUAGAACGCGCCUGGGGAUCCCGGCGCGGCCGCGGCGUGCUUGGCGAGGGCAUCCUACCGCGAGUCCGCGACCGGUGACCGCGAGGCCGGUGGUGUAAGCGGCUGCAUCCAAGUUCUGGUUCCUCGCGAGCCAUUGAGCCUGCAGCGCCUCUAGUUGACCGCUUGCCGGUGCGCGGUGGCGUCGGGGGGAAUGCGGAUGCGGCGCUGGCACUCCGUCCGCUUCAGUGCUUUCUCGCGGCGGGUCGUCGGCUGGAGCGCUCCUUCACGCCCCGCUCUGGUGAGAAUUCCAUACCUGACAAACUUAUUCAGAUUGCUUGUUCAUGUGCACAACUCAGCAGAAGCCACGAGCCACAGCCUCAGCCUAUAAAAAUUGGAUCUGAGCGUGCACUAACUAAUUAAUACUUGAAUGUGAGCUGAUUACUACUGGGCACUAACCCUGGUUUAACUGUUUCAAGUAUCAAGAUCAGCUGGUUCAACUGAGCUUGAUACUUAUGAAUUCCGACUAAGGUACAACAUCAAGAUUCAGAUUAGAUUCUGCUAGGCAAUCAAUUGACCAUGAAGGCAAACAUAGUAGACUAGUGGUUGUGCAAUCAGAGCACACUACAGUACGAGCUGCUGAAUUGAGAAAGACAUGGUUCAAGCAUCCUGGCCUCCCGAGCCUCAAUUUUACGGGGGUGCUGCUAUCUGUUUCAUUUCGUUCCAAGUUGUUCAGCGAUAGGCUGGUUUCCGAAUGAUUUGGCACCCUGACCGUCUCUCAUUUUUCUGAUUGCAAUUAGCUGAAGAGUCAGCAUCAAUGCAUCCAUAGGGACAUGGUGGGAUGGUUCAAGAGUCAGGAGACUUAAUUCCCAGGCAGAUACAGGGUUCACUUCACUGCUUUUAGGUCUGUGCUCUGUACUUGCAGUUGCAUGCUAGGUGUUGGUGAGCAGCGCUCUGAUUGCUGCAAAUCGUGCAACUUGGUCGGCAGUCCCAUAUCUCAAUUUCUACAGAUGGUCUGCAUGAUUUGUAGCAUUGCAUGUGACACCCGUUUCGAAGUUUCGUGGUAGCUGCAUGCAUUGUCCAAAGGGCCUAAUCCCAAUUUUCACUCACAUGCUAUGCCAUACCAGUUUUGGCUGGAAAGUUCAGACCCUUGUUAUGAAUCUAUCCAUACUGCUUCUCCUACUUUAACUGCAGUAAUAUUGAUUGCAUGCAAUACUAUUUGUUGCCAGGGUAUUUACUUGGAUUUUCAGGAGAUCAUUUACUUUCAAGCAAAAUAAAUCUGCAAAGAAAAAACUACUGGGCUUACUCUGUAAGGUAUAAUUUGCUGAAGAUUUGCACUUUUGUUGGCUUGAGCCCACAAUUUCAUCUUUGGUUAAACAUCAUGCACUGACCAUUGGUCAAAGCUUAACUCCCUUUUUCAUUUAUGAUUUCACCUAGGCAAUGGCAUCGACAUGGUUUCGUUCAGCAGCGGAAAUGGGAACAGCAGUUGUUGCUCAGUUCCAUAUGCAGUAAAUUUUUGGAUUUCAUAACAAAAGAUCUUGCAGAACAAACUUGUUGCCUCAUCAUGUAAGUCCUAAAAUGUUACUAACCAUUUAUCAAUAAAAUGGAGCAUAUUUACAAAGAACAAGAAUAAUGGCUCUAACUUGUUAAUUUGCCAUCUUCCUUGAUCACUUGCAGGACCAAAGGUUUCUGCAGAGAUUCCUCUUUUUCAUACAACCUAUGACAAGCUACUUUAUAUACAAUUAGGAGCUGCAUACAACAACUGGUUGACUAAGUCCUGCUGAUGGUGCUGCACAGUAUGCAUAGUGGCAUGGCACUGCCAUGGUGCUCAGGAAUG
rnacentral:lncRNA from 1 species